UGACUCAGUUGGUAGAGUAUGGCACUUGCAUAGCCAGGGUUGUGGGUUUGAUUCCCAC
rnacentral:tRNA from 1 species